UUCUACGCUUCUUCUCUCGUUGCUUCUUCUUUUUCUUUUUUUUUUUUUUGGACAACAACUCUUGUUGCUUCUUCAAUCAUCAUCUUUUCUACACAAAAUCUGAAAAGCUCAUUCAUCUUCUAUGCUUAUUCUCUCUUGGUGCAACGCUUCUUCAAUUUCAUGGUUUUUGAGCAUCUGACCAGGCAAAUUUGAGUUUUUGAUUUUGUGUUGGCACAAAUUCAAAGAAUCAAAUUCCAAUCGGUUUUAGAUCGCCGACUAUCAGAUGGCUUGAGCCUCCCAGUCUGCGUUGAAAACGGUACCGGAUUUGCUGGUUAUCCUUUGUAGGAUGUGAAAUCGGAUUUUCAGAUUGUGGGUGAUGUCACUCAGUUUGAAAUUGUGCUGCCGAAUAUGCCGCUUCCUAAGAACAUCACUCUCUACUGAUGGAUGGAAGUGUCCCAAAGCUAUUCAAAAAGCUAAAGUUCAGGAGAGGAAACUUGUGAUGGGUUAAGGAUUGAAUCUUAGAGGUUUGAUUUUGGUUUAAAGGUAACUAUGAAUAUGUGGAAUUUGAACUGUGUGUACCAGGAGGUUCAUCGGAAGGAUCAACAAUUGUUGUUGCAGCAAAACAGUGUAUGAUGUCACAUAGUAAUGAUAUUGGUGGAAGUGUGAGACACCAAGCUUCGUUUUGUGGUGUUGUUGGUCUUAAGCCUACUUAUGGGUGUCUAGGUUUGGGCUUAUGGCUUAUGCUUAUUCAUUGGAUAUGAUUGGGUGUUUUGAGUCUACGAUUGCUGAUGUUGGGAUGAUUUUUCAUGUUAUUUAUGGGUAUGAUAGAACAAUUAAGUACAAACACUCUGCUUUUAAAUUUUAGGAAGGAUUCAAUAAUACUCAUGAAUGACUUUUAGCAAUUUAGGAUGACCUUCAUGAAAAUACUUAGGAAUGACUUUUAGCAAUUUAGGAUGACCUUCAUGAAUAAAUCUCAUAAUGGUUGUAAAAAUUAAUGAAGGAUUCAGUUAUAUUCAGGAAUGAUUCAAUAAUAUUAGUCCAUAUGUUUGUCAA